ensembl:misc_RNA 7SK 7SK RNA
UGAUGUGAGGGCAAUGUGACUGCAAUGUCUGUCACACUCAUUGAUGACCAAGGUUGAUUUGGCUGGUCUGGCUGGCUGGCAGGUGUCCUUUUCCUCCCUUACUGUUCUGUGUGCAACCUUCCCAAACUUGCUCCAAGAAUGGCCACCUUGGGUAGACAGGUGUCAGGGGUAUACAAGUAACUGUGCCCCUUGCUAGAACUUGAAAACACACUCUUAAGUAAACUUAAGGUUUCUACCUUUCCUGAUAGCAUUGAUAACACAUACUGUUGCCAUCUUG